rnacentral:rRNA from 1 species
CCUACGGGAGGCAGCAGUGGGGAAUUUUGGACAAUGGGCGCAAGCCUGAUCCAGCAAUGCCGCGUGUGUGAAGAAGGCCUUCGGGUUGUAAAGCACUUUUGUCCGGAAAGAAAUCCUGUGGGCUAAUAUCCCGCGGGGAUGACGGUACCGGAAGAAUAAGCACCGGCUAACUACGUGCCAGCAGCCGCGGUAAUACGUAGGGUGCGAGCGUUAAUCGGAAUUACUGGGCGUAAAGCGUGCGCAGGCGGUGAUGUAAGACCGAUGUGAAAUCCCCGGGCUUAACCUGGGAACUGCAUUGGUGACUGCAUCGCUCGAGUAUGGCAGAGGGGGGUAGAAUUCCACGUGUAGCAGUGAAAUGCGUAGAGAUGUGGAGGAAUACCGAUGGCGAAGGCAGCCCCCUGGGUCAAUACUGACGCUCAUGCACGAAAGCGUGGGGAGCAAACAGGAUUAGAUACCCUGGUAGUCCACGCCCUAAACGAUGUCAACUGGUUGUCGGGCCUUCAUUGGCUUGGUAACGUAGCUAACGCGUGAAGUUGACCGCCUGGGGAGUACGGUCGCAAGAUUAAAACUCAAAGGAAUUGACGG